GCGCACGGCUCAUUAGAGCAGAUAUCACCUUAUCCGGGAUCCUCAUAUGGAUAACUGCGGAAAUACUGGAGCUAAUACAUGCAACUAUACCCCAACGCAAGGCGGGGUGCAAUUAUUAGAACAGACCAAACGUUUUCGGACGUUGUUUGUUGACUCUGAAUAAAGCAGUUUACUGUCAGUUUCGACUGACUCUAUCCGGAAAGGGUGUCUGCCCUUUCAACUAGAUGGUAGUUUAUUGGACUACCAUGGUUGUUACGGGUAACGGAGAAUAAGGGUUCGACUCCGGAGAGGGAGCCUUAGAAACGGCUACCACGUCCAAGGAAGGCAGCAGGCGCGAAACUUAUCCACUGUUGAGUAUGAGAUAGUGACUAAAAAUAUAAAGACUCAUCCUUUUGGAUGAGUUAUUUCAAUGAGUUGAAUACAAAUGAUUCUUCGAGUAGCAAGGAGAGGGCAAGUCUGGUGCCAGCAGCCGCGGUAAUUCCAGCUCUCCUAGUGUAUCUCGUUAUUGCUGCGGUUAAAAAG
rnacentral:rRNA from 1 species